GAUGAACGCUGGCGGCGUGCCUAAUACAUGCAAGUCGAGCGAACAGACGAGGAGCUUGCUCCUCUGACGUUAGCGGCGGACGUGUGAGUAACACGUGGAUAACCUACCUAUAAGACUGGGAUAACUUCGGGAAACCGGAGCUAAUACCGGAUAAUAUAUUGAACCGCAUUGUUCAAUAGUGAAAGACGGUUUUGCUGUCACUUAUAGAUGGAUCCGCGCCGCAUUAGCUAGUUGGUAAGGUAACGGCUUACCAAGUCAACGAUGCGUAGCCGACCUGAGAGGGUGAUCGGCCACACUGGAACUGAGACACGGUCCAGACUCCUACGGGAGGCAGCAGUAGGGAAUCUUCCGCAAUGGGCGAAAGCUUGACGGAGCAACGCCGCGUGAGUGAUGAAGGUCUUCGGAUCGUAAAACUCUGUUAUUAGGGAAGAACAAAUGUGUAAGUAACUAUGCACGUCUUGACGGUAACUAAUCAGAAAGCCACGGCUAACUACGUG
rnacentral:rRNA from 1 species